UUGGAUAAAUACAGCCAUUCAAAAUGGGAGACAUUGGCCAAAACAAAGGGGCUACCGGCCCCAUGCAAGUCCAAAAUCCAGAUUGAUUCAGCCUGAUUCAGCUCAGUCCAGCUCCACGGGUCUUCUCAUUUCAUACCUGAGGCUGAGGAAGAUGUCACGCUGUGAAUCUUGUCUGAUGUUAACGUCCUGAGCCCUGCUUUCUGUUUGUAUUUGCCUGGAGUCUUCAGCCAUAAAAAGUGUGAAAGCACGGUCAGGAUUACAGGCCUAGGAGCCUAAAAUUGGUUUCUGUACAUAUGUAUAUCAAAGACAAGUGCUGGAUUUUGGCAGAAUGCAAAAGAGAAAGGAGGCAAUCCAAAUGUUAAGUUCCUUGUACACGAG